GACGAACGCUGGCGGCGUGCUUAACACAUGCAAGUCGAACGAAGUGGCGAACGGGUGAGUAACGCGUAAUCAACCUGCCCUUCAGGGGGGGACAACAGUUGGAAACGACUGCUAAUACCGCAUACUGUAGGAGGGGAUUGUGGUUGAUUCGCUAGUUGGGGGGGUAACGGCCCACCAAGGCGAUGAUCAGUAGCCGGUUUGAGGUGAUGAUCGGACACAUUGGGACUGAUACCCGGCCCAGACUCCUACGGGAGGCAGCAGUGGGGAAUCUUCCGCAAUGGACGAAAGUCUGACGGAGCAACGCCGCGUGAGUGAUGACGGCCUUCGGGUUGUAAAGCUCUGUUAAUCGGGACGCGGUACCGGAAGAGAAAGCCACGGCUAACUACGUGCCAGCAGCCGCGGUAAUUC
rnacentral:rRNA from 1 species